CUCACAGCUGACAAUGCAUAUCAGAGCAAAAACUAAGCCAUGAGGCCAAAGGAACUGCCUGCAGGGCUCAGAGACAGGAUUAUUGUGAGGCACAGAUCUGGGGAAGGCUAGAAAGGCUGCUGCAAAGAAGGUCCCCAAGACUACAGCAGCCUCCACAAUUCACAAAUGGAAGAAGUUUGGCACAACCAGGACUCUUCCAGGAGCUGUAGGGCUUUUCCACUACAACUCUGGGUUCUGCCGAGCCAAACCAAGCCAUGCUGAUUUCCUUUUCCAUCACUAGUUUGACCGCGUCAAGCCCCACUCACUGGCAAGCCAGCCCCGCCUCCAAGCCCGCCAUCAUCAUCAUUCGGAGACACCUCGCUGCACCAAACAUUGAACUACCUGCCAGAUUCCCCAUAGCAGAAGAAGGAGAAAAAAAUUGAAGUUGAAGCAAUGGCUAACUGGACACGAGACACACAGGCCCUCAUCGCUGUCUAGAGUGAGAACGCCUUUCAGGAUGACCUGAACAGCGCAACUGAAAAUGAGAAGGUUGUCUGAGAAAUUUCGGCGAAGCUGAAGGCAUGUACAGUGCCAAGAGAAAAUUUUAAAAAACUCAAGUGACUGUACAAGCGUGUGGUCGACCAUAACCAGCAGGAUGGAUCGUAAAACAUGACGGUGGUUUGCAGGCAUGGACAAAGUUUUAGGAGAGAGGCCUGUAACAAACGGUGGUUCGAGACUGGAGUUGGUGAUUCUCCUGUUGGAAUCCCUCUGCCAGACAGAGAAAGUUGCAAGAUAAGCCAGCCAAGCUGCAGGCAUAUGAAGAGAAUGCUGUUGCAUCUACAUCUACUCCCCCACCCCAGCCCAGCAAGGCCACCUGUCCACAGAUGAGGACACCAUGCUCAACCUUCCUCCCAGGCAUUGCUCCACACCACAGCACCACUUGAAAAGAAGUGAGAAAGAGGAGAAGGUCUGAGAUGGGCCACAUUCUUGAAACAGUGGACAAGGUGAAGGACAUGUGUUCAAGGAUGGGUGGACAUACUGAGAACCUGCUGGAAGCACAGCACACAGAGGCCCAGGAAUUGCAAGACUGGGGAACGUGUUGAGGGCCCGCCAUGCUCAGAGAGAAAGAAAGACUCGGGCAUUGAACAAACUUUUCCGUGAGAGCAUGCAAAU